rnacentral:sRNA from 1 species
UCUAAUUUUAUUGCUGUUUCUGUUGGUGUGAGAUAAGAAUCAUCUGACUGCUAUUAGGUGGUUGAUUUGUACAGCUGAUUAACACAAAUUGCAUUGUGAGCUAGUAAAUGGAUCUUUGGAUAAUUGGGUCCAAAUUCUUAAUGUUUAUAAGUAACAAGUUCAAAGGCUUUAGUCACACCUGUUUGUGAGCUGAACUAUUAUACAUCUACAUACUUAAAGGAUGUAUUUGGAGUGUUGGAUUUUUUUUUUUUUUUUUUGAGAUGGAGUCUCGCUCUGUCACCCAGGCUGGAGUGCAGUGGCGUGAUCUCAGCUAACUGCAACCUCUGCCUCCCGGGAGAAUCACUUGAACCCAGGAAGUGGAGGUUGCAGUGAGCCAAGAUCACCCCGUUGCACUCCAGCC